UUGAGAUAUGUUUGUGGCGACAUGGCUGACGAUGAGUCGACAAGUUCUGGUUACUAUUUAUUUGUUAAAUGUAUUUUAACUGAAUCUACAUACAGAAGCUGUACUUUCACCUAGGAUACGAUUGAAGAUACUAUAUACUGAACGUGUUACAUGACGACAACAAAUUAGUGAAAUGCUCGGACAUAUCAUUCGAUGAUAAUGGUGGGAUUAGUACAAUAUAGCAUUUUGAAUCUUUGAAUGACGACCAAACACCGUCCGUUGACGAACUGAUUGUAUCCUGUGAAUUAGCAGAAACGUUAAACAUGGAACAACGUCAAAACGUGUUCAUGAGCCUGUACAGGAUUAGGAACAAUACGAGAUACAUAACAAAAAAUAUACUAUAGCAAACAGGAAUAAAAUAGCAAUGGAUACCUCUCGGAGUUUAAGCUAUAUCGACGUUGAACUGGACUAAACUACGCUUUCGAUGUUUGUGUGUGAGGUUCGGACUAACCUCCUGACAGCUUGUACGGAUAUUUUUCGAGUAAACUUUUUUUUUGGUUA